CUCGGUGUUACAAACACAUUUCAGCCGGCACCUCAGAAGUGUUGAAGUUUGACACUGAGCCCUUGUUCCGGCUGCUGAGCAACUACAACCUUAACAAUGUCCGGCCUGUGGACGCUCGGCAGAGAGAUGUUUGACUCAAGUUCAGCCUUUUUAAGUCUGUUCAAACCAAUUCAAUCACAAACAGCCUCAAUCAUCAAAACCCGCAGAGUCACAGUCCAGACAGAGGAAAACCAGGUCGAGUUCAAACACACCACUUCAGAGUUUACACCUGUGACCAAACGAAGGGAUUAAUUUAAACAAGGACUUGGCCUAAAAUGGUCAUUUUAACAAUAACAACAACAUCUGCCUUCCAAUAACCCGCUCUGUGUAACUUCAAAUGAUCGAGGCUCACUGCAGGUCCCCA